rnacentral:ncRNA from 1 species
UAGUAAACAAUUAAAAAAACAGUUGUCAAAAUAAGAGUUUGAUCCUGGCUCAGAAUGAACGCUAUCGACUAGCUUAACACAUGCAAGUCAAUUAACUUUUGGCGAACGGGUGAGUACCGCAUAAAAAUUAACCUUUAAAAAUUAAGAAAAGUUUAUGCAAGAUUAGGUUGUUGGAAUGGUUAAUAGCUUUCCAAGCCAAUAAUCUUUAGCUGAUCUUUGAGGAUGAACAGCCACAUUGGAAUUGAGAUACGGUCCAAACUCUACUUAGAGGCAGCAGUGGGGAAUUUUAGGCAAUGAGCGAAAGCUUGACCUAGCUAAGUCAUAUGUGUGAAGAAGGUUAAUAACUGUAAAACACUUAUUGUAUUUUUAAUGAUGAUUAAAAUAACAAAUAGUCCUGGCUAAUUUCGUGCCAGCAGCCGCGGUAAAACGAAAAGGACAAGCGUUAUUCGGAUUUAUUGGGCGUAAAGGAUACGUAGGCGGAAAAUUAACUAGCAUUUAAAGUUAAAUUUUAUUAUUUAAAAGUGUGUUAAAGUAAUUUUCUAGAGUUUGAUGAAAAGAUUACAGAAUUUCAAGUGUAACGGUAAAAUGUGUUGAUAUUUGAAGGAAUCUCAAUAGCGAAAGCGCUAAUCUGGAUCAAUACUGACGCUAAGGUAUGAAAGCAUAGGUAUCAAAAGGGAUUAGAUACCCCUGUAGUCUAUGCCCUCAACUAUGAAUGUUAUUUUUUGGAUUAGUUUUCAGAAAAAAAGUUAACAUAUUAAACAUUCCGCCUGGGGACUACGGUCGCAAGAUUAAAACUCAAAGGAAUUGACGGGGACCUGCACAAGUAGUGGAGCAUGUGGUUUAAAUUGACAGUACGCGAGAAACCUUACCAAUUUUUGUAUAGUGUAAGUACACUACAGGAGUUGCAUGGCUGUCGUCAGUCCGUGCUGUGAAGCGUUUGGUUUAUUCCAAUAAACGGACGAAACUCUUUUACAUUUUUAUUAUAUGUUAAUGUAUAUAGCUAAAGAUAUAUUAGAAGAAAGAAAGAAUAACGUCAAGUCCUUAUGACCUUUAUAAAUUGGGCUACUUUCAUGUGCUACAAUAAUAUUUUCAAUUAGCAGCAAAAUAUGUUAAAUUAUUGCAAAUCUAAAAAAAGUAUUAAUCAGAUUGUUCUCUGCAACUUGAGAACAUGAAGUUGGAAUUACUAGUAAUCGUAAAUAAGAAUGUUACGGUGAAUUAGUUCUCAGGUCUUGUACACACCGCCCGUCACGCUAUGGAAAUUUUUUUACCUGAAAAAAUACAAUACUUGUUAUUAUAUUUUUACGGUAAAAAAUAAACUGAAGUGAAGUCGUAACAAGGUAGUCGUAGGGGAACCUGUGGCUGGAAAAAUAAAUUUACAAAUAAAUUUA